AUGAACCCGGCGGAUGUAUUUUUCACCCAAGAAAUUCUGGAUUUCAACAAGAGACCUAUUCUCCUGAAUAACGACGUUGAUGGGGAAGUGAGCAUACACAGACCUCAUCUUGUAACGGAAGCCCAGUGUAACACCUUUGAUCAUGUUCUGUACGUGACUACAGAUUGUGCGAACAGUAGCCAGUUCCUUUCUGUUUCCCCACCAUUUGUCAACCUGGAGCCUCUUCUUUUUCUUUCCAAGGAGACUGAGUUCUACAUUAAUGUGGUUGAAGUCCCUCCGCAGGGUUCCUCUGGGGCCCUUCACAAUAUUGCUGAGAAUGGUCUUCAUUCUCGAAAGAGAUGCGGCAAAAAGAGCUUUUUUUUUUUUUUUUAAAGGCAGGGUCUCACUUUGUAGUUCAGGCUGAACUUGAUUUUUUUUUUUUUUGGUACCAGGGAUCAAACUUGGGACCUUGCACUUGUGAGGCAGGCACUGGAACCACUGAGCUAAAUCCCUGGCCCUAACUUGAUUUUUAAAAAGCUAAAUUCUGACAGUUAUCAAGAAAAGAUCCAGAUCCAUGGACAUGAGUAUGUGUGUUGAGGGAUGGGCAAGGAUUGUAUCGUGUGCACCAACAAACACUAACUGCAUUCCAAGUGACUUCAGACUAAUGUUUGGAAAGUAAUUGUCAGUUCCACCACAAGAACCUAAAAGGAGCUGGGCGUGGUAGUCCAGGCUGGUAACCUAGCACUCUGGGGGCUGAGGC
rnacentral:lncRNA from 1 species